CGUUGAAAACGAGCUUCCAAUUCCACCACUCACAGCGCUACAGUAUGUAGUCCUUACAAAACGGAUCUAGCAACUUUCGUCAACGACCGAUCGACGCCAUUUCAUGUUAGAAUUAUUUUCAUCACGUUGAUGAAAGCUGUGAACUCUUUUAGAAGUGUCUACCCAUUCCACUUUGACUUGAUUCUAUCAAACAAUCUUGUGGGUCGACUGUGGGCAUUAAGACCCAAAUUGAAGACGCUAUUAAGGAUUGGCUAAAAUAUGGGACAGUAUAUGAGUAUUUUCAGUGGAG